UAGUAACCACAUCUCUUUAGCAAGUGCCUACUGUGUGCCAGGCCUUGAGUUUGGGGCUUACAAAGCUAACGAAUUUCAAUUUCGUUCUUACCUAGGUCUACAAAGGAGAUGCUAAUGAUAGUUUACAAAUGAGGAAGUUGAAGCACAGGAAGACAGAGCACGUGGUCAAGUUCAUACCGAGGAACCGGAAGAAUAACCUCCACAGUAGAGACCCUUAGGCCUUUGCUUGAUGGUUUGAAGGGCUUUAUUCCUGGGAGGGGUCUUUGCAUGGUCAUUCCUUCCAAUCCCCCAACUCCAGCCUGCUGGUGUGUGUGUGUGUGUUCCUGCGUCACUGGGGUGGAACCAGGCAUGACCAAGAAACACCCACCCGCUCCCAUUUCCAUGCUGAUUCUGCUGCGCUCCCGCCCGCCCGCCCGCCUCUGCACGGUCCAAGCUGGCUCCUUUUCCAGCGCAACAGUACUUUCUUAAAAGCCGUACCUUCCUAGCCCCUGAACAUCUGGUAAAGCCAGCUCGCCUUCAAUACUUCUGUGUCUCCUUACGUUUUCCCUGGCUGCUCUCUCGUGUUUAUUUUUCCAGAUGAAAUUUGGUAUCAUUUUUUGUCAAGUUUCAAAAAAUAAAAGAAAAUAAAACCCU